GAAUCAUCGCUCAAAAUGACUCACCCUGCAGCGUAGCGCGCUCUGCAUGUGAUCGAUAAUCAGCUGUUCUGAUCAGUUGAUCAUCGAUAAUAGCAUCCACGAGUUAGCCAAGUCAACCACGAUGUUACGGGAACUGUCGAAUCGAAUGCCAAGCAAAUAGCUGUACCUGUAACGUUAGUUGUAAUUGCAGUAUGCAAUCACAAUGGACUGCUAAUCAACCUUGUUGCCAGGUGGCCAGGAGGAACUCAUGAUUCCAAAAUAUUCAGAGAAUGCCAACUGAAAAAAAAAUCUUGAACGAGAAAGUCAUGAAGAAAAAUGGCUUCUUGGCGACAGUGGGUGGAGGCUACAACCAAACUUUUCAGACAGACAUGAGAUACAAAGUUACACAAGUAUAAAUGGUUGAAGGUUUAGGAGAGCCAGACAAGAAGGCAGGAAAUGUGAUGUCACUUUUACUUCAAUGAACAUGGACAGCAGCAGGAGCAACAACAGCAUCAGCAGCCGAAACUACAACUGCAGUAAGAGUUGCAACAACCACACCGACAACAUCAACAGCAGCAGGAGCUCCAACAACCAUGCAGGGAACAUCGGGCGCAACAUAAAUAACUUCAUCAAGAGAUGCAACAACCACAGUGGUAAACAUCAACAGCAGUAGCAACAAUGACAGUAGAAACAAAGCCAACAGCAAGGAUUCUAACAAGCAAUCAUACAAGCAACAACACAAGCGACAACAUCAAUAAAUGCAUCAGGAGAUGCAACAGCCACACUCGUAAACAGCAGCAGGAGCAGCGAUGACAACAGCAACCACACAGGCAACACCUUGAGCAACGUCAGUAGCAAAAAUAACUUAUUGCACCAGGAGAUGCAACAACCACACCCACAACACCAAGAGCAGCAAAAACAAACAGCAAUUCCAGCAACCACGAUAACCACAGCAGCAGCAACACCAACAACACUAAUGAACAUUGAAAAAACUUGUACAAAAGUCAAUGAGGUCGCAUUUUUCAGACAUUAUCAGACAUUGAUUAAAAAGUGCACAAUAAUUUAUUUGGGUUAAAGAAAAUUAUGUUUGAAAAAAUGUGUACAUUUGAAGAUGUUUACUAUGUAUUGAUUGAUAUAAUAUAGUUUUGAAGAUGAAAAUAUUA